rnacentral:lncRNA from 13 species
CAGGGAACACGUUUCUGCUGAGGAGAGACUGCUGGGUUCUGGAGGAGUAUUUUACCUCCUUGCUGGAGACAGUUAAUGACCUUCAACUACAUGGUUGAAGACCUCCUGCAGGCAGAGGCAUGUUUUAAAACGGGUGGGACCAUCUAAUUGCAGGAAAACAAGUUCAGGGCUUCCACUGAUUCUAUGAUACGCCGAUAUAAACC